GAAUAUUGGUCAAUGGACGCAAGUCUGAACCAGCCAUGCCGCGUGAAGGAUGAAGGUCCUCUGGAUUGUAAACUUCUUUUAUCUGGGACGGAACACUCUUUUUCUAAAGAGCUUGACGGUACCAGAGGAAUAAGCACCGGCUAACUCCGUGCCAGCCGCCGCGGUAAUACGGAGGGUGCAAGCGUUAUCCGGAUUCACUGGGUUUAAAGGGUGCGUAGGUGGGCUUGAAAGUCAGUGGUGAAAUCUCCGGGCUUAACCUGGAAACUGCCAUUGAUACUCUGAGUCUUGAAUUUUCUGGAGGUAAGCGGAAUAUGUCAUGUAGCGGUGAAAUGCUUAGAUAUGACAUAGAACACCAAUUGCGAAGGCAGCUUACUACGGGAACAUUGACACUGAGGCACGAAAGCGUGGGGAUCAAACAGG
rnacentral:rRNA from 1 species